CCUCUCAAUAUACCACAGCUGGGCUUACAAAUUACCGUUUAUGUUUCAUUUUGCUAACUUAAAUUAUAUGUGGAUUACUUACCUACAGUAAAAUUGCCUGCUUUAGAUUCGGAGCCACAUUCAGGGCUAUAUUAAGGCAUGAUUUCGGGUGUCAUUCCAGCAGGGUAUUUAAAGCAGGUUUUCUUAUGAUAUCCUAGCCCAAAGCAAGAAUUCUUUAAGGAUAAAUUUAUUGGAUAUAAUUAAGCUGAAAAUUAGUUGAACAAUUGAGUAUUUUUGGUGCUGUCUAAAAAUGAUAUCCUUACUUGGAUUGUUUUUCUCUUUUGUUUUGCGUGUUGUCGGGUCAUUUUACUUUGUUUUUAGUUAAGGAUAUAAAUAAUACAACAUAUUUUUGACUUGUU